CAGAACAAAAGCUAUUCGGAGGUGGCGAUCGAAGGUGGACAGCAAGAUCGAAGCUCAGCAAGAUUGAAGAUUGUUCGAGGAAGAAGGAGUUCGCCGUUGACUAAAAGGUUUAUCUGAACAGCUAGUUGUCAAGAUGAAGGUGAAGACUCGCCCGGCCAAAUUCAAAAUGGCGAUGCCAAAGAAAACCAUCCACGUGGACCGUUCGCGGACCUUUCCGAGCA
rnacentral:lncRNA from 1 species